UCCAUUUUAGCUAUAUACUCUAAAGGGCCGAUUUCUCCCUAAGCAUUGCAGCAAAGUGCCAUUUUUAAGAAAAACCACACUGAGAACGAAGCUCUUGAAAAUACACAUACUACACAUGCUUAUUGUCACAAUUAAGCAAUCAUGGAUGAAAUCUUAUAGCCCUACUGAAUUCAGCAGCAAGAAGUGGCAAAAGAAGUAGGAAUUUCCUUCAGUAGGAUGGAAGCAUUAUUAAAAACUCUGCUUGAAGUUCACUCUCAGGCUCUUAUGGGAAGAAACAAGUUGCUGAUUAUUAUAGUGUUAUCAUCCUUUUUUCUUUGAUUCUUCAGUCAGAAGAGAAAUAACACUCACUGGUGGCAAAAUAGGUUUUAGAAUUAUCACUCAGGGAGAUGAAUGCAGGACUUGUGUGCUUCACUCCUAGAUCUACUUCUGCUGCCAGCUGAACUGUCAGCUCUCACAAGCAUGAUGGUCUGCAUUUCCCUUUGCAGCGUUUUCUUCACCUUGAUAGAUUAUUAAGCACAGAUUUUUCUUCCAAAUGAGAGGUUGUAUUGUGGUACAUAGACAGGAUCUGAUUUACCACACUGCUGGGAGCUAAGUUGAAGUGACCCCAGCUUGCAAGACAUCCUCUUGGCAGUCUGCAAAAUGAAGUCUCUAAAGAACCAAGUGGCCUUGAGAACAGAUAUGAUGUGUGUGCUCUCUCUUAUCUUUCAGGUUUCUGUGUACAGAGCUGGGUUAGCAAUCUGCCUCCUAGUCCCAGAUGAUUGUAAACAAGCCUCUGUGUAUGCCUCCAGUAUAUUUUCUUCAGAGAGUUGGAGCAGCCUCCAGCACAGAAAUUUCAGCCAGUGUUAUUGCCUGUCAGUUCUAAUCCCUCAGAAUUUCAGCCAGCAAGGGUAUAAUAAGGUAAGUUUUGUCUUUUCAAA
rnacentral:lncRNA from 1 species